rnacentral:rRNA from 2 species
AUGGGCGCAAGCCUGAUGGAGCAACACCGCGUGAGUGAAGAAGGGUUUCGGCUCGUAAAGCUCUGUUGUUGGAGAAGAACGUGCGUGAGAGUAACUGUUCACGCAGUGACGGUAUCCAACCAGAAAGUCACGGCUAACUACGUGCCAGCAGCCGCGGUAAUACGUAGGUGGCAAGCGUUAUCCGGAUUUAUUGGGCGUAAAGCGAGCGCAGGCGGUUGCUUAGGUCUGAUGUGAAAGCCUUCGGCUUAACCGAAGAAGGGCAUCGGAAACCGGGCGACUUGAGUGCAGAAGAGGACAGUGGAACUCCAUGUGUAGCGGUGGAAUGCGUAGAUAUAUGGAAGAACACCAGUGGCGAAGGCGGCUGUCUGGUCUGCAACUGACGCUGAGGCUCGAAAGCAUGGGUAGCGAACAGGAUUAGAUACCCUGGUAGUCCAUGCCGUAAACGAUGAGUGCUAGGUGUUGGAGGGUUUCCGCCCUUCAGUGCCGGAGCUAACGCAUUAAGCACUCCGCCUGGGGAGUACGACCGCAAGGUUGAAACUCAAAGGAAUUGACGGGGGCCCGCACAAGCGGUGGAGCAUGUGGUUUAAUUCGAAGCUACGCGAAGAACCUUACCAGGUCUUGACAUCUUGCGCUAACCUAAGAGAUUAGGCGUUCCCUUCGGG